rnacentral:rRNA from 1 species
UACAGAGGGGGCAAGCGUUAUUCGGAAUUAUUGGGCGUAAAGGGCGCGUAGGCGGCUUUGCAAGUGACGGGUGAAAUCCCUCGGCUUAACCGAGGAACUGCCUGUCAAACUGCAUGGCUUGAGACCGGGAGAGGUGAGUGGAAUUCCCAGUGUAGCGGUGAAAUGCGUAGAUAUUGGGAGGAACACCAGUGGCGAAGGCGGCUCACUGGACCGGUACUGACGCUGAGACGCGAAAGCGUGGGGAGCGAACAGG